rnacentral:rRNA from 1 species
CCUACGGGUGGCAGCAGUGAGGAAUAUUGGUCAAUGGCCGUAAGGCUGAACCAGCCAAGUCGCGUGAAGGAAGACGGAUCUAUGGUUUGUAAACUUCUUUUAUAGGGGAAUAAAGGUAUCCACGUGUGGCUUUUUGCAUGUACCUUAUGAAUAAGCAUCGGCUAACUCCGUGCCAGCAGCCGCGGUAAUACGGAGGAUGCGAGCGUUAUCCGGAUUUACUGGGUGUAAAGGGCGUGCAGCCGGGCUGACAAGUCAGAUGUGAAAUCCCGCGGCUCAACCGCGGAACUGCAUUUGAAACUGUCAGUCUUGAGUACCGGAGAGGUAAGCGGAAUGCGUGGUGUAGCGGUGAAAUGCGUAGAUAUAACGAAGAACACCAAUGGCGAAGGCAGAUGACUGGACGGCAACUGACGGUGAGGCGCGAAAGCGUGGGGAGCAAACAGGAUUAGAUACCCUUGUAGUC